rnacentral:rRNA from 1 species
GACGAACGCUGGCGGCGUGCUUAACACAUGCAAGUCGAGCGGUAAGGCCCUUUCGGGGGUACACGAGCGGCGAACGGGUGAGUAACACGUGGGUGACCUGCCCUCAGCUCUGGGAUAAGCCUGGGAAACUGGGUCUAAUACUGGAUAUGACUCCACGGUGCAUGUCGUGGGGUGGAAAGCCUUGUGCGGCUGAGGAUGGGCCCGCGGCCUAUCAGCUUGUUGGUGGGGNGAUGGCCUACCAAGGCGACGACGGGUAGCCGGCCUGAGAGGGCGACGGCCACACUGGGACUGAGACACGGCCCAGACUCCUACGGGAGGCAGCAGUGGGGAAUCUUGCGCAAUGGGCGAAAGCCUGACGCAGCGACGCCGCGUGAGGGAUGACGGCCU